CAAGCCUCCCUCUUUCCGGGGGGUGUUGAUCCUGGGAGUAGGGGAGACAGAGUUGGGGCCUCAGGAUGCCUGGCACAGCAGGGUCCUCACCCUGUGGGCCCAAUGUGAUAAGCACUGGAGGCCGGAGAUAAGGGGCUUUAGAGUAGGCCGCUGGGAGCCUCACCCACCCCACCCUGGGUUGGGUGCAAGGACUGUAUCCCCAUGGCUGGGAAGACUGAGUUUGAGAGGCACAGCUCCAGCUAAGUGGCUUCACAUGUACUUGUAACUUGCAGCAUCA
rnacentral:lncRNA from 1 species